GACGAACGCUGGCGGCGUGCUUAACACAUGCAAGUCGAACGGACCAAGGGGGCGUUGCUUCCUUGGUUAGUGGCGAACGGGUGAGUAACACGUGAGCAAUCUGCCCCUGACUCUGGGAUAACUGCGGGAAACUGUAGCUAAUACCGGAUAUGACACGCGAAGGCAUCUUCUGCGUGUGGAAAGAAUUUCGGUCAGGGAUGAGCUCGCGGCCUAUCAGCUAGUGGUGAGGUAAUGGCCCACCAAGGCGACGACGGGUAGCCGGCCUGAGAGGGUGACCGGCCACACUGGGACUGAGACACGGCCCAGACUCCUACGGGAGGCAGCAGUGGGGAAUAUUGCACAAUGGGCGAAAGCCUGAUGCAGCAACGCCGCGUGAGGGACGACGGCCUCGG
rnacentral:rRNA from 1 species